CGACGAUGACGAAGGCGUGGUGUGCGCACGGCAGCGCACCUCAGCCGGUGCCACCAGCAGCAGGUAUCCGUCGGUGGCGUCCAAGACGCAUCCUCCCUCCGGCAGGCUGAGGUCGUCCCGGCCGCAGACGCGAAUCACCGACCUGGUGCAGUCGAUCGAGUCGCAGCUGCUCAACCGAUCGGCAAGGCCUCCCUUGGGCGCCGUGAACACCGUCAGCGAGAGUGCCAGCCGCAAGGAGUCCGAGCAGAAGGUCGAGACUGCAGUUCUCAACUCUGGUGACCAAAGGAUUGCGACGGACCUUGUGGGAGCAGCAAAACCUGCAGCGUCGUCAUCAGGUGCUGAAAGAAAAGGACGGCCACCUGUGUUGAAAGAUUACAUCGACGACGACGAGAGCAUGGAGGAGGUCAGCUAGAGGAGCCAAAUC